GGGUUGUGAGGUUAAGCGACUAAGCGUACACGGUGGAUGCCCUGGCAGUCAGAGGCGAUGAAGGGCGUGCUAAUCUGCGAUAAGCGCCGGUAAGGUGAUAUGAACCGUUAUAACCGGCGAUACCCGAAUGGGGAAACCCAGUGUGACUCGUCACACUAUCAUUAACUGAAUCCAUAGGUUAAUGAGGCGAACCGGGGGAACUGAAACAUCUAAGUACCCCGAGGAAAAGAAAUCAACCGAGAUUCCCCCAGUAGCGGCGAGCGAACGGGGAGGAGCCCAGAGCCUGAAUCAGCAUGUGUGUUAGUGGAAGCGUCUGGAAAGGCGCGCGAUACAGGGUGACAGCCCCGUACACAAAAGCGCAUGUGCUGUGAGCUCGAUGAGUAGGGCGGGACACGUGGUAUCCUGUCUGAAUAUGGGGGGACCAUCCUCCAAGGCUAAAUACUCCUGACUGACCGAUAGUGAACCAGUACCGUGAGGGAAAGGCGAAAAGAACCCCGGCGAGGGGAGUGAAAAAGAACCUGAAACCGUGUACGUACAAGCAGUGGGAGCACCCUUUGGGGUGUGACUGCGUACCUUUUGUAUAAUGGGUCAGCGACUUAUAUUCUGUAGCAAGGUUAACCGAAUAGGGGAGCCGGAGGGAAACCGAGUCUUAACCGGGCGUUAAGUUGCAGGGUAUAGACCCGAAACCCGGUGAUCUAGCCAUGGGCAGGUUGAAGGUUGGGUAACACUAACUGGAGGACCGAACCGACUAAUGUUGAAAAAUUAGCGGAUGACCUGUGGCUGGGGGUGAAAGGCCAAUCAAACCGGGAGAUAGCUGGUUCUCCCCGAAAGCUAUUUAGGUAGCGCCUCGUGAAUUCAUCUCCGGGGGUAGAGCACUGUUUCGGCUAGGGGGCCAUCCCGGCUUACCAACCCGAUGCAAACUGCGAAUACCGGAGAAUGUUAUCACGGGAGACACACGGCGGGUGCUAACGUCCGUCGUGAAGAGGGAAACAACCCAGACCGCCAGCUAAGGUCCCAAAGUCAUGGUUAAGUGGGAAACGAUGUGGGAAGGCCCAGACAGCCAGGAUGUUGGCUUAGAAGCAGCCAUCAUUUAAAGAAAGCGUAAUAGCUCACUGGUCGAGUCGGCCUGCGCGGAAGAUGUAACGGGGCUAAACCAUGCACCGAAGCUGCGGCAGCGACGCUUAUGCGUUGUUGGGUAGGGGAGCGUUCUGUAAGCCUGCGAAGGUGGCCUGUGAGGGUUGCUGGAGGUAUCAGAAGUGCGAAUGCUGACAUAAGUAACGAUAAAGCGGGUGAAAAGCCCGCUCGCCGGAAGACCAAGGGUUCCUGUCCAACGUUAAUCGGGGCAGG
rnacentral:rRNA from 1 species